GCUGCAAUAGCUCAUUUGGGAGAGCAUUAGACUGAAGAUCUAUAAGUCCCUGGUUCGAUCCCGGGUUUCGGCA